GCACAAGCCUGUCCCAGAAACAAUCCUCCCCCUCUUGACCCCAAGCCGGGGACUUCCCUUAUAUUACGAAACAUGCUCCGGAGCUACGCAAAGCAUCGCCUGCCUACACACUUUUCAAGGCAACGCCUGGCAUGCAUUGGACUUGUGGCGUUUCUUCUGCUUCAAUUUCCCAAAUGCUGGGACCACAGGUGGCAACAGCCAUGUCUGCCCACCUGGCAAGCCCGACACAGGAAAACGACCUUCCCAAGCUUCCUUAUCAGCCACAUCCAGCACUUGCUCUCUCUAAGCCCUAAAAUGUCCCUACCUUACUGGGACCUUAUUAAAGUUACAGGAUCAAAUAUUUAUAAAGCCUUUAGAACGGUC